rnacentral:rRNA from 1 species
CCCAGACAGCCAGGAUGUUGGCUUAGAAGCAGCCAUCAUUUAAAGAAAGCGUAAUAGCUCACUGGUCGAGUCGGCCUGCGCGGAAGAUGUAACGGGGCUAAACCAUGCACCGAAGCUGCGGCAGCGAACGUAUCACUUAAAGCGAUUCAGCGGGUUACGAUUGACGGAGCGAAGCGACGUCAAAGCGUAUACAAAGUCGAGUCGGUUUAAGGAUACGUUCGUUGGGUAGGGGAGCGUUCUGUAAGCCUGUGAAGGUGGCCUGUGAGGGUUGCUGGAGGUAUCAGAAGUGCGAAUGCUGACAUAAGUAACGAUAAAGCGGGUGAAAAGCCCGCUCGCCGGAAGACCAAGGGUUCCUGUCCAACGUUAAUCGGGGCAGGGUGAGUCGACCCCUAAGGCGAGGCCGAAAGGCGUAGUCGAUGGGAAACAGGUUAAUAUUCCUGUACUUGGUGUUACUGCGAAGGGGGGACGGAGAAGGCUAUGUUGGCCGGGCGACGGUUGUCCCGGUUUAAGCGUGUAGGUGUGUGUUCCAGGUAAAUCCGGUUCACUUUAACACUGAGGCGUGACGACGAGGCACUACGGUGCUGAAGCAACAAAUGCCCUGCUUCCAGGAAAAGCCUCUAAGCAUCAGGUAACACGAAAUCGUACCCCAAACCGACACAGGUGGUCAGGUAGAGAAUAC